rnacentral:rRNA from 1 species
GACGUAGGAUGCAAGCGUUGUUCGGAUUUAUUGGGCGUAAAGCGAGCGUAGGUGGCUAGAUAAGUCUGGUGUUAAAGCUAGGGGCUCAACCCCUGUGUUGCACUGGAAACUGUCUGGCUUGAGGAUGGUAGGGGAAGGUGGAAUUCCGAGUGUAGCGGUGAAAUGCGUAGAUAUUCGGAGGAACACCGGUGGCGAAAGCGGCCUUCUGGGCCAUUUCUGACACUGAGGCUCGAAAGCUUGGGGAGCAAACGGG